AUGAAGGCAGGGGAGAUAUCAUGAUCACGAAAGUGGUUUUCUCAGGCCGAGCCUUAUCCAUUGCACUCCAGAUGUGCUGACCCCUGCAAUUUCCCCAAAUGUGAGAAACUCGACUGCGUAAUUUGUGGUAGUGGGGGGCUGUGUUCACGCUCUCCCCUG
rnacentral:snRNA from 1 species